GUGUGUCAAGGACACUGAAAAAUGCCUCAGUGGCAAGUUUCGUUUCUAACAAACAGACUAUCACUCACUGUCAAGAGGAUCACAAUCAUCCUUCAGAAUGUGGAUUCUGUUGGUUAUUUUGGUCAUAUUUUUCGUGGAUGGAAAAACUAUUAAUGAAUUUCGUUUGGUUCUUCAUACGAUGACUACAGCCGUGUGUCAGCUGUACCUGGUGCUGUUACACCUGCGCCAUGACGCUCACCACUGCGCCAAAGCAAUUCUAUUACAAUUUUUUUGCCUUUAUAAUAUAUUAGUGAGGAACGGUGCUGAAUUAGAUCGCUUCAGGUAUGUUUUGAAGUGUUACAGAAGCGCCGCUGUUCAUUUCCUGGAGGCGGUGUGUUUGAUCUUGGAGUCGCUCGCAGUUUCUGGCGGUCGUGUCGAGUCUGGGUGUCGCUGUCAGACACGUCCUGCAGGCGGCGCUGUUUCUCAUUGCGUCCACGGUGCACUGGGCGCAACGGAUGCUGCUUUUCUCUAAUGAGGACGUGGAUGCAUGGGAGAACGAACAGAAAAAACGGAGAGAAGAAAUACAGAAACAAACAGGACAGCUGGAGGACUACCUAAAUCCUGAUCAGUCCACAUGGAAAAACAGACGCUGAUUUGCAUCCUCUAAAAAAAACAGCACCUGGUUGCUCUUUGCCAUGCAUUUACAAUAAAAUGUUUUAUCCAA